rnacentral:lncRNA from 1 species
AAAACAACACCAAACUGUGCUAGUUUCACACAAGUUUGGUUCGACACGGGGUGAACCGGACAGUUUGGCCCAAGUUUGGCAGACCAUAGGCAAUAGUAUUAUAAAACAUCAUGACCACCUCAAGUCAUACCACCCUAAUUAGCAGUAGAAUGUCUUUUUCAUAUUUUCUUCUAUUGUGGUGAUUAAUCAGAUAUUUUCAAUUAUUUAUUUCUUUUAACUUUCUUGAUAGCUUCAUUGUUCCUUUCAUCGAGAAGUGGUCCAUUUUGAAUACUAGUAUAGGUCCAUGGAAAAAUAGUGAAGAAUGAACCCUCUAAUAUUUGGUAGAAGGUCUCUAAGAGGCAAACUCACAUAACUUAUUUUAUCAACAACAAAUGUGUUACCAAAAUGAGUAUCUUUCACAAUCUCCACCUUUCCUUUCAAACAGAAAGCUUCUUUAUAAAAUAUCAUAAAAUUAUUACAUUAUGAAUUCCAUAACCCAAGUCAUUCCUGGUUUUUUUCCUUCCUUUAAUGAAACAGGCUCCAUUUGUUUUUCAUUUCACUCAUCAUUUACUCACAUUUGUUGGAAAUAAAGUCUGUCGUGCCGGUACCGAAGCUUGUACCAAUCGGCCAGCGGCACAGUUCGGUACGCCCCUGUCAUUCUAUGCUGGGCUCAUACGAACACACCAAGGAGGGCGAGAGAA